rnacentral:lncRNA from 10 species
CUGCAAGACCUAAGAGAUGACACGUUUUGAUUUUAUUCUAACAGCAAUCCGUUUUAAUUAGGAGAGUGACAAUGAUGAUGACAAUACUAAUGAUGAUAGUAGCUACCAUCUUAUGGGCCCUAGUUCAUCAAAUAGGGAUUGCAGAAUAGGCAUCAUCUAAAUGUUUAACAUUAGCCAUUUAAUCUUCACAUCAAAUCAGAAGCAUGGAUAAUUGCUCCUUCCAUUUACAGAAGAGGAAAUGGAAUCUUAAGGGCAUGCAAGUGCAAGUAGACCUCGCCUCCCCUCCCCUGCUGGCACACAUGUGUGCAUGCAACAUGAGCACAUUCCACAGCCCUGCU